CACUAUCACUACUAUUACUACUACUGCUGCUACUGCUGUUGCUGUAGCUGCUGUUACUAUAUAAUGCUCAGCCUUUUGGAUCAUACCCCGACUCAUAUUGUUAAUCUAUCCAGAGACACGGAAAAGGAGACACUGGACAUUUAUUACUGGACAUAAUAUGGAUCCUGUUGGAAUUUGCUAUCAAAGCAUUUGGUCUCAGCUGUAAGAAAGACAAAGAAAAAAAA